rnacentral:lncRNA from 1 species
CUAAAAUGACGAAAAAGCUAGCUAACUAACACAACACUACACUAAUCAAGUCCCAUUAGUUUCCAUUACAGCCUGGAUAUUAAUGCUAACAGUCUCUACAGUCCCAUUAGUUUCCAUUACAGCCUGGAUAUUAAUGCUAACAGUCUCUACAGUCCCAUUAGUUUCCAUUACAGCCUGGAUAUUAAUGCUAACAGUCUCUACAGUCCCAUUAGUUUCCAUUACAGCCUGGAUAUUAAUGCUAACAGUCUCUACAGUCCCAUUAGUUUCCAUUACAGCCUGGAUAUUAAUGCUAACAGUCUCUACAGUCCCAUUAGUUUCCAUUACAGCCUGGAUAUUAAUGCUAACAGUCUCUACAGUCCCAUUAGUUUCCAUUACAGCCUGGAUAUUAAUGCUAACAGUCUCUAUAGUCCCAUUAGUUUCCAUUACAGCCUGGAUAUUAAUACCAACACAGUCUCUACAGUCCCAUUAGUUUCCAUUACAGCCUGGAUAUUAAUGAUAACAGUCUCUACAGUCCCAUUAGUUUCCAUUACAGCCUGGAUAUUAAUGCUAACAGUCUCUACAGUCCCAUUAGUUUCCAUUACAGCCUGGAUAUUAAUGCUAACAGUCUCUACAGUCCCAUUAGUUUCCAUUACAGCCUGGAUAUUAAUGCUAAAAGUCUCUACAGUCCCAUUAGUUUCCAUUACAGCCUGGGUAUUAAUGCCAACAGUCACUACAGUCCCAUUAGUUUUCAUUGCAGCCUCGUUUGAAUGCCUCGGUUGCACAAAUUUGUACAGAAUGGAGUUAGUCAACAGUAGUAAAGUCAUGAGUUGUGAUUAUGGUUCAUUGUUUACCAAGAUAGCUAAUGUUAGCUGGCUGGCUCACUAGCUAACGCUACGUGUAUGACCUUAUUAUUCCUAUCUCAGAGCCAUUUGCUUAGCUAGCUAUAGCCUAAUGUUAGCUAGCUAGGCAAAUAAUGAACCAUAAUCACAACUCAUGAUGUUACUACUGUUGACUAACUCCAACCUGGUUGGUUAGCUACAG